UUGAACGCUGGCGGCAGGCCUAACACAUGCAAGUCGAACGGUAACAGGAAGAAGCUUGCUUCUUUGCUGACGAGUGGCGGACGGGUGAGUAAUGUCUGGGAAACUGCCUGAUGGAGGGGGAUAACUACUGGAAACGGUAGCUAAUACCGCAUAACGUCGCAAGACCAAAGAGGGGGACCUUCGGGCCUCUUGCCAUCGGAUGUGCCCAGAUGGGAUUAGCUAGUAGGUGGGGUAACGGCUCACCUAGGCGACGAUCCCUAGCUGGUCUGAGAGGAUGACCAGCCACACUGGAACUGAGACACGGUCCAGACUCCUACGGGAGGCAGCAGUGGGGAAUAUUGCACAAUGGGCGCAAGCCUGAUGCAGCCAUGCCGCGUGUAUGAAGAAGGCCUUAGGGUUGUAAAGUACUUUCAGCGGGGAGGAAGGGAGUAAAGUUAAUACCUUUGCUCAUUGACGUUACCCGCAGAAGAAGCACCGGCUAACUCCGUGCCAGCAGCCGCGGUAAUACGGAGGGUGCAAGCGUUAAUCGGAAUUACUGGGCGUAAAGCGCACGCAGGCGGUUUGUUAAGUCAGAUGUGAAAUCCCCGGGCUCAACCUGGGAACUGCAUCUGAUACUGGCAAGCUUGAGUCUCGUAGAGGGGGGUAGAAUUCCAGGUGUAGCGGUGAAAUGCGUAGAGAUCUGGAGGAAUACCGGUGGCGAAGGCGGCCCCCUGGACGAAGACUGACGCUCAGGUGCGAAAGCGUGGGGAGCAAACAGGAUUAGAUACCCUGGUAGUCCACGCCGUAAACGAUGUCGACUUGGAGGUUGUGCCCUUGAGGCGUGGCUUCCGGAGCUAACGCGUUAAGUCGACCGCCUGGGGAGUACGGCCGCAAGGUUAAAACUCAAAUGAAUUGACGGGGGCCCGCACAAGCGGUGGAGCAUGUGGUUUAAUUCGAUGCAACGCGAAGAACCUUACCUGGUCUUGACAUCCACAGAACUUUCCAGAGAUGGAUUGGUGCCUUCGGGAACUGUGAGACAGGUGCUGCAUGGCUGUCGUCAGCUCGUGUUGUGAAAUGUUGGGUUAAGUCCCGCAACGAGCGCAACCCUUAUCCUUUGUUGCCAGCGGUCCGGCCGGGAACUCAAAGGAGACUGCCAGUGAUAAACUGGAGGAAGGUGGGGAUAACGUCAAGUCAUCAUGGCCCUUACGACCAGGGCUACACACGUGCUACAAUGGCGCAUACAAAGAGAAGCGACCUCGCGAGAGCAAGCGGACCUCAUAAAGUGCGUCGUAGUCCGGAUUGGAGUCUGCAACUCGACUCCAUGAAGUCGGAAUCGCUAGUAAUCGUGGAUCAGAAUGCCACGGUGAAUACGUUCCCGGGCCUUGUACACACCGCCCGUCACACCAUGGGAGUGGGUUGCAAAAGAAGUAGGUAGCUUAACCUUCGGGAGGGCGCUUACCACUUUGUGAUUCAUGACUGGGGUG
rnacentral:rRNA from 1 species